ACCAGCAAAGUGAAUCGGGUA
rnacentral:miRNA from 1 species